GCUUGUCCUAAGCUAAGUUGGUGUCACCCGUGUCUUUUGACCUUGCCGGCUGGUCACGUGACUCGUGGGCUGAGGUUCUUUUGCCUGACGGACGUUUAAACGUCAGUCCAGGUUUCGUUUUGGGGUUUUUAGUAAAUCAGGAAACGUUUUAGUCUACGUUCUUUGUUGGAAAGCUUCUGUUUGUUCGCCUGAAAUCGUGAUGCAGAAAACAGCUGAUUUCUGAAGGUGACUUCCUGUCUGUCAUGGGCCUCCAGAGCAUCUGGGAAAAGUACAAAGUCCUGAUUGUUAUGGGAACCAGUCUGGGGCUGAUCCACUGGGGCUGGUACAACCUGAAGGCAUAUCCUCUGAUUCAAAGUCCCAAAGACAAAUCCAGUCCUGAGCCGGCCGUCAUCGGCUACGUUUCACCGCCUACUGCCACCAAGAACAAGUAGACCCGACCCGGAUACCCACACCAGUCUGUCCCUGCAAGGUCCAAGGUCCCAGCCUCAGUGGACUGCUGGUCCAACAGAGUAAGACGUGUAAGCUGAUCAGGAUCUGGGUGAUGAGGUCUCAGAGCUGGAUCAGGAGGAACUGGUUCUGGGCAGCUGGCAGUGCUUUUAUCAGCGUCCAUGUGAGCAUGUGGCUGAUACAGCGAGCAAUAAAGAGCGCUGCUCGCUCGGAGGCGGCGCUGAAACACAACAUGACUGAAUACAAACUGGACUGAACCUGUUUCUGGAUGAUGAGUUAACGACUCACAGAUUAACAGAAAGAAAAGAAACGAGUCUGAAACAAGUUUUAUAGAUUGAGGUUUGUUCACAUCAGACUGCAGCUCCCUGUUCUCCCUCUGGAGGGCAGUGUGCCUGCUGCAGCCAUGCUGCAUGUUUUUCUGUUCACCUUUUCAGUCGUCCUGGGACGUCUCAGGAACCUUAAGUGACAAACAUGUAGCCAAGAGUCUGUGAUGUGACCUUUGACCUCAAAUCUUGCAUGCUCUUUUUGGGGUCAUAACGCUGAUCAUGGUUUUCCUGAUGCCAGUGAUCAAUAAAAUGACUGAGGAAAACA